CCUCCUGGCUCAGAGCCUUCUGCAGACUUUGCCACUGUGCUUGUCUGUGGAUCUGUGUGGCUUCUCAGCCUCACCUUGAUGCCGGCUGGACGGCAGAGGGCUGCACCAGUCCACAUGGACUCCAGGUGGCGCACCAGCUCCGUGUCUGGGGAUCCCCGCUCCCAGCUCGGGACCCCAGACAGUGCCAGACGCCUCCUUGGUGGGCAGCUCCUGGCUGCUCUGCCCGUCUGCAGCCUCCAGGCCACCCUGGGAGGCCCAGGUUCCGGGAGGUAUGAUCAGUGUGUCCACACCAGACUGCAGGCAGAGCAGAGUUGAGGGACCAAGAAGGGUUGGGACAGGUGGGCAGGACCCCAGAACCACUCACAGCCCCGCUGGGUGGAAGCAAAUGGCCCCUCCUCACCCCUGCCCACCUUCUUGGCAGUCUGCCCCCAGGACUGGUCAGACAAGUUCUCGUGGCUGGCCUGGGUGUGGUCACCCUCUGGUGGGGGCCAGCAACGGGGCAAGGCGGGGAGCCUGGCACGCUAAGUCCUGGCACAGGGUCAGGGCAGUGACCCAUCUGUCCCACGCCUGGAGACCUCUGCAUGCCACGCGCCUGCCCUGCCCUGCUGUGGAGCUGGUCACCAUGCGUCAGGGAAGGGCUGGCAUGGCGUGAGGACCCGUCUGUCCUGCGUGGCCAGCUCGGCUGCCACCUCCUCGCCUUGUCUCUGCCCUGCCCGGAACACCAGGGCGCCCCAAGCUGGCCUCAAUGCUCACUCCCUGCCUGGCAUCCUGGCUUACAGUGGUGAGGCAGUACCUGCGCAGAGCAGCCUAGCGCCUGGUGCUCAGCCCCAGAGAGGCCCCCACCCUGCUCAGCAGACCAGGAGACGGCCCAGCACCCACGGCCCCAGCCUCCUCCUGCCUCAUCCUCAAGGCCUGGUCCAGGCCACCUCCUCCCGGAAGCCCAGGCCCCGAGGCAGGACAGGAGGUGUGCAGGAAUUAGAUAUUUCCUGGGAAACUAGAAAAACAUCCCAGCUGAGGUUGGGAGGUGAAUCACCAGUGGGCAGGGCGUGGUCCUGGCUGUCUGGGCUCUCCUGUCCCAACCUUCCACUCCCUGAAACCUGCAGCACCUGCUGCACCCACCACCCUCUUGUCGACACGCUCCUUCUCUUGGAGGCCUUUCCUGGGGUCCCCCCAGUUCCAUGCGCUGUAUCCUCCUGCUGUCCGACCCAUGGACUGACCCCAGCUCACAGUCUCAGUCUCGGCCCCAGGGAGCGCAGGUCAGCUCAAAUCCAGACCUGGCUCAGCUAGGGCUGUGGACACGCUGCAAGCCCUCGUGCAGUCUCUGGGCAGACCCGGGACUUGCAGGCCAGGGGAAAGUGUGGACGUCAUGAGGCAGUGGCAUCCCUGUCCUUGCAGUGUCCACAGUGACUGUGUGUGUGUGUUCUCGGGUCCACAUAAAGGGGCAGAUGCCCUGUGUCCAGCUACAACCCCCUCCCAAAGGAGCCUGCAGCAAAGAAGAAUUGCUGGGAGGAAGAUCACCCUGCUUUAUUGCCUGGGCCUUAAGGUAAUCAGGGGUGUCCCUCUCCAGCCAGGACCUGGGAUUCCGUUUCAGGAGCUCGGGCUGAACGGCCACCUUCCUGGUGGGUCUGAGCCCCAGUGCCUGGUGUGAAGGGGCAGACGCCCAUGACAACAGCCACCCCGCAUGUCCCGGCAUGUCCCGGCACUGUGUGAGCCACAUUUGCUGAAGUCUGGGUCCUGGCCCUGGCAGGGUGGGCUGGGCUAGGAGAUGACACAGCAGCAGCAGCUGUGGCAGCGGCAGAAGGGGGGGCAGUGGCAGCAGUGGCAGCAGGGGCAGCAGCAGCAGUGGUGGGCGAUGUCAUCCCCGCGCCCCGCGGGCGGAGGGCCAGCGUAGGUCAGUCCGGCCUGGCGCUGACUGCUGCUGUAGGGGUUGCCAGGCUGCUGCCAGGCCUGCUGGUUCUGGAUGGGGGCAGCCCCCUGGUUACCCUUGGCGCCCUUGGGCCCUGGGACCUCGGUCGGCUGCAAGAGGUGGGUUGGCUCUGGGGCACAGGGCCCCACUGGCAGGGGCUGCAUCUCCGAGGAUGAGGAACAGGUGGAAGCCACCUCUAACUGCUGCCCCAGGUCAGGCCGCAGGUGAGCCCGGGGGAUGCUGAUGUGGGCAUAUGGGUUCUUGACGACCAUCUCUUGGGGGUCCAUGGUCCAGCCUGCAGGGGUGGGCAGAGAAGACAGACAUGAACUCAGUGGAGUGGGAUGGCUGCCCACGAGCCUGCGGCCCAGGAAAGCCCCCACCAGGAGCAGCGUGCCUCGUCCAAGCUCAGCAUCCCCAAGGCAUCAGUGCCGGGGUGCCAUCACCUCCAAAUGUGUGUGCAAGGCUAGUGUCAUGGGUGUGAGCCAAGUGUGAGCAAGCAGCAAGGGCCGGUGUCUCCCAGCUGCCACCCCUGCCAGGGAUCCUCCCCCUCCCCUGGUGGCAUUGGUCCUGGGAUGGAGCUGGGAAUGGGGUCGGGGAGGCUGAGAGAUGGGAGAGAAGGGGGCUGACCCUGCAGUGCCCCUGAGUUCAGGGCAGUCCCGGCGGCCAAGGGCUUACCUGUGGUGGCAACACGGCAGUCUGUCCUCUCGGUCUUCUGAGCUCUAGGUCCCAGUGCCUGAGUUGAGCGACUGGCAGCCGCCUUUUCCCUCCUUGGGAGGGGCGGGGCCAUGGGGCGGGGCUCAGAGAUGGGGUUCCCAAGAUCCCAAGAGGCCCCAGCAACUGGAGCACGACAGCUGGCCCAGCCCUCGUCCUCAGGCUCAUCUCAAACUCCUGGACUGAAGUGAUCCGCCUGCCUCCACCUCCCAAAGUGCUGGAUUCCAGGCGUGAGCCAGCGUGCCCAGUGGCUUUUCUGCUUUUUUCACUGAUAAAAAAUGUUUGAUUUG
rnacentral:lncRNA from 1 species